rnacentral:rRNA from 1 species
GAUGAACGCUGGCUACAGGCUUAACACAUGCAAGUCGAGGGGAAACGACGGGGAAGCUUGCUUCCCCGGGCGUCGACCGGCGCACGGGUGAGUAACGCGUAUCCAACCUGCCUCUGACUGAGGGAUAACCCGUCGAAAGUCGGCCUAAUACCUCAUGGCAUCGUCUGCGGGCAUCCAACGACGAUUAAAGAUUUCAUCGGUCAGAGAUGGGGAUGCGUCUGAUUAGCUUGUUGGCGGGGUAACGGCCCACCAAGGCGACGAUCAGUAGGGGUUCUGAGAGGAAAGUCCCCCACAUUGGAACUGAGACACGGUCCAAACUCCUACGGGAGGCAGCAGUGAGGAAUAUUGGUCAAUGGGCGAGAGCCUGAACCAGCCAAGUAGCGUGCAGGAUGACGGCCCUAUGGGUUGUAAACUGCUUUUAUGCGGGGAUAAAGUGAGGGACGUGUCCUUCAUUGCAGGUACCGCAUGAAUAAGGACCGGCUAAUUCCGUG